UGCAAGUCGAACGAUGAUGCCCAGCUUGCUGGGUGGAUUAGUGGCGAACGGGUGAGUAACACGUGAGUAACCUGCCCCUGACUCUGGGAUAAGCGUUGGAAACGACGUCUAAUACUGGAUACGACUGCCGGCCGCAUGGUCUGGUGGUGGAAAGAUUUUUUGGUUGGGGAUGGACUCGCGGCCUAUCAGCUUGUUGGUGAGGUAAUGGCUCACCAAGGCGACGACGGGUAGCCGGCCUGAGAGGGUGACCGGCCACACUGGGACUGAGACACGGCCCAGACUCCUACGGGAGGCAGCAGUGGGGAAUAUUGCACAAUGGGCGAAAGCCUGAUGCAGCAACGCCGCGUGAGGGAUGACGGCCUUCGGGUUGUAAACCUCUUUUUAGUAGGGAAGAAGCGAAAGUGACGGUACCUGCAGAAAAAGCACCGGCUAACUACGUGCCAGCAGCCGCGGUAAUACGUAGGGUGCAAGCGUUGUCCGGAAUUAUUGGGCGUAAAGAGCUCGUAGGCGGUUUGUCGCGUCUGCUGUGAAAUCCUGAGGCUCAACCUCGGGCGUGCAGUGGGUACGGGCAGACUAGAGUGCGGUAGGGGAGAUUGGAAUUCCUGGUGUAGCGGUGGAAUGCGCAGAUAUCAGGAGGAACACCGAUGGCGAAGGCAGAUCUCUGGGCCGUAACUGACGCUGAGGAGCGAAAGCGUGGGGAGCGAACAGGAUUAGAUACCCUGGUAGUCCACGCCGUAAACGUUGGGCGCUAGAUGUAGGGACC
rnacentral:rRNA from 1 species